rnacentral:misc_RNA from 1 species
AAGUCGUAACAAGGUUUCCGUAGGUGAACCUGCGGAAGGAUCAUCACUGUGAUUCAGGGGUGGGUGGUGUACCCACCCCAACCAAUCUUGUGUGCACCGUUUCACUGGUCAAAAGGGCUGUGUUGUGUGUGUGUUGGCGAGAGAGCCGCGCGCCGCUUUGUGGAGUGUGCACUCUCGCCGACCGCGCAUACACAGCGCUCCAUCCACCACACAAUCUUUGUCUUUUAACCCAACUUGUAUAAUACAUUACAACUUUUAACAAUGGAUCUCUUGGCUCUC